AGAACUUCCAAGUCCUUCUCCACAGGGCUGCUCAAGGAGUUCUUCUUCCAGUCUGUAUAUAUAUCUGGAACAGUUCCAACCCAACUGCAACACUUUGCACUUGGCCUUGUUGAACCUCAUUAGGUUCACAUGGGCCCACUUUUCAAGCCUGUGCAGGUCCCUCCAGAUGACAUUUCUUCCAUAUUAACUGCACCACUCAGUUUGGUGUCAUCAGCAAACUUGCUGGGAGUGCACUUGAUCCCAUCAUGUACAUCAUUGAUAAAAAUGUUGAAGAGUGCCAGUCUGAAAACAGAUCCCUAGGGGACACCACUUGUCACCAGCAUUCACCUGGACAUGGAACCACUAACCACAACCCUCUAGCUGUGGCUAUCCAACCAGUUCCUUACCAACCUUGUAGUCCAUCCUCCAAAUCCAUCUCUCUCCAAUUCAGAGAGGAGGAUGUUGCGUGGAACCACAUCAAACGGCUUGCAGAAAUCCAGUUGAUGUUCUGUCUUUCCUUGUCAAUUGACACAGAACAUUUCUUACUCUGAUGGAUUCACAAGCCCUUACAGGGGUUUCUGAUUUUGGAACAGCUCAUAUUUCAAAUACUUUCAGUCCAAAGUGCUGAUGUUUGAUAUGGAGAGGGUCCCUCUGUACAUACCUUGUCAGCACGUCUGCCAUGGGGUCUGAGUCCAUAGUUCUGAGCAGCAAGAAAAUAAACUAUCCCUGAUCUCCUGCCAUGGCGCUGCCACCUGACCUCUGUCAUGGUUCCUUGCAGACGGCCUGUCACUGAGCCACACUUACUGGCUACUGCUACCCAGGGACAGCAUCGAAGUUUUCAGGUCUGUAAAUAUCUAUUAAUAGAGAUGUUCAGGGACUCAUUCUUGACAAAAAGCCUCAGCUUCCUUUCCCUCCAGCUGUAGAAAACCCAUGGCUAUUUUAACUCUAAAUUCCAGCCAGUUCUUGAACCUUCCAUUUUGCUCAUGAUGAGGGCUGCUGCAUCAAAAGAAAGCCGCUCUUGAUGAAACUGUCUAAACCAUUUCCCUGUUACAAAGCAAAGCAGUCCCACUUUCAUACAUUUUCAACAGACUAACAUCAUUCUGAAAACCUUUAGAGAUGCGGAAGCUGCAGAACAAACAAAACAGGCGUGAAGCAGAAAGAUGGAGUCUCAAGCCUGAAGAUGACCCAGGCUCACUCCUCAUCCAAAGAUCUGGAUGGGGUAGCUAGAGUUAAUACGCCACCCUGUGCCUGAUCUGAUCAUUAAAGGGCUCUAAUUUCCAUCAGAACUAAGAAACAAUUGGACUAAAACAGACACUAUCUGAGAUCAAGGUCCAAAGCCACUGAAUGUAAGCAUUGCACAAAUGACUUGGAGGCAAGGGAUUGUUAAGGUUUAAUUUGGGAUGCCUUUGUCCACUGAGCCAGGACAGCUCAAGUAAAGCUCUGUCACCAAACCGACAGCCGGGCAGCCUCUUGCAACAUCCUUGGGUUUAUCAGCACUUUGAACUGCAGAAAAACGUAGUCCUAAUUACUACUGAGCCUUAACGAGCCUUUAGUUUCAACUUGCACACCUAGCUGUGCCCCAUAUGGCCCUGAGGGAUAUGGAAGGGCCUGUGAGAAGAUGGGUUCAUGUGAGGAUGUGCUGGAGAACAUCUGCAGCUUCCCUUCAUUCAUGACCACUAACCACAGUCUAAAACAAGUUCUCCAUAGCUUUGAAGCCUGGAGGCAUGUUGGCGAUGUACUCUCCAUAUGAUAAAGGGGCAGAAAACAGGGAUAUGAAAAGGGAUGAUAAUUCAGUUUCCAUGACAGCUUGUUUCUUGCUUCCCUCUGAAAUUAGAGAACAUUAAAAA